AUAUUAUUGCUUUUAAUCCCAAAAUGGGCACACGAAACGAGAUACAACGGCGGAGAACGGAUACAAAACGAAAAGAACACCGGCGACGAAACCUAAAUCUGAGAUUUGAACGGUCUGGAAGGAAGCAACAAGAAAACACAUCUACUAGCUCUGGCGAUUGCAAGGGAGACUACUUUGCGGCUUCGCAAACGACGACAAGCUCAAAGAGGAGUAAUCAGAUCCGCCUUUCAGAAGAAGCCGCCGCUAAGCCUGAACCUGUAACUUCCCUUCCAGAAUAAACCGAAACAAGACAACCACUACCUGAACCCCGAGUCCCCGACCUAGCAACCCGAAAUAACGCGCUCUAACCCUCAGAUUUGUCACCGUCAACCUAAGAAUCCUCCAACCUCCAUAUUGGUUCUCCUUGGUCCUAAAUACAAAU
rnacentral:sRNA from 1 species